AACGAACGCUGGCGGCAGGCUUAACACAUGCAAGUCGAACGCCCCGCAAGGGGAGUGGCAGACGGGUGAGUAACACGUGGGAACGUACCCUUUUCUACGGAAUAACCCAGGGAAACUUGGACUAAUACCGUAUGUGCCCUUCGGGGGAAAGAUUUAUCGGAAAAGGAUCGGCCCGCGUUGGAUUAGCUAGUUGGUGGGGUAAAGGCCUACCAAGGCGACGAUCCAUAGCUGGUCUGAGAGGAUGAUCAGCCACACUGGGACUGAGACACGGCCCAAACUCCUACGGGAGGCAGCAGUGGGGAAUAUUGGACAAUGGGCGCAAGCCUGAUCCAGCCAUGCCGCGUGAGUGAUGAAGGCCUUAGGGUUGUAAAGCUCUUUCACCGGAGAAGAUAAUGACGGUAUCCGGAGAAGAAGCCCCGGCUAACUUCGUGCCAGCAGCCGCUGUAA
rnacentral:rRNA from 1 species